rnacentral:lncRNA from 1 species
CUUUACCCAAAUACGGCGCCUCAUUGGCCCGUCCGCUUCCGCCCUCGCCUCGCUAUUGGCUCAAUCAAAUGUCACGCACAGCUGAGGCCCCGCCCCUUCCCGCCUCGCGCGAGGGGCGUGUCUUCGUGACGUAACAGGCGAGCCUCCCGCUGCCAUUGGCGACACCGCGGGCGCUGACGAGGAGGGGGCGGAGCCAAACGAGGGGCGGGGUCGGGUGAUUUCACGUGAUUAUUCAGGCCCCGCCCUUUCCCGGGUGUCCGGGGUGCGGUCAUCCCGCCCAGCAGGGGGCGGGCUUUGAGAGGCCAUGGCGGCGCUCUCCGGGCCGCAGGGAGCUCUCUGUAGCCCCCCGCCCCCCCCGGGGGUCCCCACGGCCCCUUUCCCGGCUCUGCGGCCGCUUCUGCCCUCCUCAGGCAGCGGUUCUGCGCUCCCGCCUCCUCAGGGGAAGGGACUGGCACUUCCCCGCCCUUUAGGGGGGUGCAGGCCUCUCCUACAGCCCCUCACCGCCUUUAGGUGCGUACCCCAAGGGGCGUUCCACCCUACAGGAGACCCUAUGACUGGAGUGCGGGGGUGCAGACCCCCCCCAAAAUCUCUCCUCCCUCACGAGGUCCUCCCCGGGACCCCUUUUUGUUGUGCGGAGCGAUCGUGGGACUACAACUCCCGUCGUGCACCGCGCUCCCCCAGCCGCGCGCAGGCGCAGCUUCUUCUUCUCCCUCUGCUGCCAUGGCAACUGCGUGGGCCCCAUGGUUCUGCGCAUGCGCACCAGCGCCGAGCUGCGGCGGGAGGGCGGCGCGCGACCAUUGCGAGGCGCUGAUUGGCCCAGACGCGUUGUCCCCGCCCACCUGCAGCAGGUGCGGGGCGCUGAUUGGUUCUCUCGCGCAGGCCACGCCCAUCCCGGCACCGCCCCCCCCGCAGUCGGGGCGCGGCCGCCGCCCCGCACGGACGGGCUCGCUCCGCGCUCCGCCGCCGCCAUGGCCGAUUCCGCCGCGCAGUUCUCGCUCGUCUCCUCCACCUCCUCGUCCAGCUCCGUGACCUCCUCCUCCGCCUCCUCCGCGCGGGCCCCGCUCGGCGGCUGCACGGGCGGCAGUUCCAUGUCUUGCGCCGAUCCCUCCAAUUCUUCCUCCUUCUCCUCCUCUUCCUCCUCCCAGCCCGUUUCUCUCUUUGCGGCUUCACCAGGCAAGUCUGCCCCUCCCUCCCUCCUUUCCUUUCUCCUGCGCUCCCAGGAAGAAAAAUGUCUCGGGGUGGGGGAGACCCCGACCCUAAAAAAGCCCCCUGGAUUUUGGGGGGGUCCCCAGAGCCACUUUGGGGACACCCAGAGCUGUUUUGGGGUUCCCCAAGGUCGGAUUGGGGUCUGAUGUUACAUCAAGGGGGUGUUUCACCCCAAAAUAACCCCCGGAUUUUGGGGUUUUCACCUGUUUUGGGUGUUGGGGGGGGGCCAAACGCUGCUGAGCCCCCGCUGAAAUGCCAACAAAGGGUUAAACUUUCCAAAAAUAGACAUUUUUCUUUUUCUGUCUUUUCCUGCUCUUUAAAAUGGUUUCUUCUCUCUUUUUCGGG